rnacentral:rRNA from 1 species
CAGUCGCCACGGUAAUACGGAGGGUGCAAGCGUUAAUCGGAAUUACUGGGCGUAAAGCGUGCGUAGGCGGUUCGUUAAGUCUGUUGUGAAAGCCCCGGGCUCAACCUGGGAACUGCAUUUGUGACUGGCGAGCUAGAGUAUGGCAGAGGGGGGUAGAAUUCCGCGUGUAGCAGUGAAAUGCGUAGAUAUGCGGAGGAACACCGAUGGCGAAGGCAGCCCCCUGGGCCAAUACUGACGCUCAUGCACGAAAGCGUGGGGAGCAAACAGGAUUAGAGACCCCAGUAGUCCCUGUCUCUUAUAC